GAGUGUCUUCAGGGCAGGGUGCAAUUCCCGACCGGCGGUGUUGCCUUUCGUUGUUUGCUAAGAGAACGAGAGCAAUAUAAAAGUCCGCGAGCUGCUUGGCAGUUGAUCUGGUGAGAUUCCAGAACCGACAGUAAAGUCUGGAUGGGAGAAGACCAAG
rfam:Streptococcus lutetiensis 033, complete genome.